UGGGGAAUUUUGGACAAUGGGCGAAAGCCUGAUCCAGCAAUGCCGCGUGUGUGAAGAAGGCCUUCGGGUUUUAAAGCACUUUUGUCCGGAAAGAAAUGGCUCUGGUUAAUACCUGGGGUCGAUGACGGUACCGGAAGAAUAAGGACCGGCUAACUACGUGACAGCAGCCGCGGUAAUACGUAGGGUCCAAGCGUUAAUCGGAAUUACUGGGCGUAAAGCGUGCGCAGGCGGUUGUGCAAGACCGAUGUGAAAUCCCCGAGCUUAACUUGGGAAUUGCAUUGGUGACUGCACGGCUAGAGUGUGUCAGAGGGGGGUAGAAUUCCACGUGUAGCAGUGAAAUGCGUAGAGAUGUGGAGGAAUACCGAUGGCGAAGGCAGCCCCCUGGGAUAACACUGACGCUCAUGCACGAAAGCGUGGGGAGCAAACAGG
rnacentral:rRNA from 1 species